GGAGCUUGCUCCCGGAUGUUAGCGGCGGACGGGUGAGUAACACGUGGGUAACCUGCCUGUAAGACUGGGAUAACUCCGGGAAACCGGAGCUAAUACCGGAUAGUUCCUUGAACCGCAUGGUUCAAGGAUGAAAGACGGUUUCGGCUGUCACUUACAGAUGGACCCGCGGCGCAUUAGCUAGUUGGUGGGGUAAUGGCUCACCAAGGCGACGAUGCGUAGCCGACCUGAGAGGGUGAUCGGCCACACUGGGACUGAGACACGGCCCAGACUCCUACGGGAGGCAGCAGUAGGGAAUCUUCCGCAAUGGACGAAAGUCUGACGGAGCAACGCCGCGUGAGUGAUGAAGGUUUUCGGAUCGUAAAGCUCUGUUGUUAGGGAAGAACAAGUGCGAGAGUAACUGCUCGCACCUUGACGGUACCUAACCAGAAAGCCACGGCUAACUACGUGCCAGCAGCCGCGGUAAUACGUAGGUGGCAAGCGUUGUCCGGAAUUAUUGGGCGUAAAGGGCUCGCAGGCGGUUUCUUAAGUCUGAUGUGAAAGCCCCCGGCUCAACCGGGGAGGGUCAUUGGAAACUGGGAAACUUGAGUGCAGAAGAGGAGAGUGGAAUUCCACGUGUAGCGGUGAAAUGCGUAGAGAUGUGGAGGAACACCAGUG
rnacentral:rRNA from 1 species